GGACAGUUGUUGAAAUUUAUCCACCUAUAAAGUGAAGAAUCAUUCCAAUGGCUCAAUUGAGAGGUACAAGGCUCGCCUAGUUGCUCGUGGGUUUUCUCAGCAAUGUGGCCUGGACUAUGACGAGACAUUCAGUCCAGUAGCAAAGGUUACUACAGUUCAUGUCUUAUUAGUGCUACCUGCUAAUAAGUCUUGGAAGUUAUGGAAAAUGGAUGUGAAGAAUGUCUUCCUCCAUGGAGAAAUUGAUCGAGAUAUUUAUAUGGAGCAGCCUAGAGGAUUCAUAAAUCAAGACAAACCUAACUUUGUUUGCAAGCUGAAAAAAGCUCUUUAUGGACUAAAGCAGGCACCACGAGCAUAGUAUGGGAAGAUAGCCGAGUUCCUUGAGCAAAGUGGAUACAACGUGACACCUGCUGACUCAAGUCUCUUUGUCAAAGCUAAAUGAGAUAAACUAGCAAUAGUGCUAGUUUACGUGGACGAUCUUAUCAUAACAGGAGACGAUGAAGAAGAAAUUCCCCAAAUACGAGGUAACUUAUUUGUUCGUUUUCAAAUUAACGAAUCUGGAGAACUCAGACAUUUCCUUGGGCUCGAGGUGGAUUGCACAAAUGAUGGUUUGUUCCUGUGCCAAAGGAAGUAUGUUAGAGACCUCCUAGAAAAAUUUGGAAUGAUGGAGUGCAAGCCAAUCAGUACAUCCAUGGAGAUUAAUGCCAGGCUAUGCAUUAAAUAAGGAAAAGAUUUUGAGAACACCACAAUGUAUCGACAAUUGGCAGGUAGUUUGAUCUACCUAACCAUGACUCGACCUGACAUAUCUUUUGCCAUAGGGGUUGUUAGUCACUUCAUGCAGAAUCUGAAGAAGCCUCAUUUGGAAGCUGUGCGAAGAAUACUGAAGUACUUCAAAGGUACUAUCAAUUUUGGACUUAUAUACAGGAAAGGGGGGAGCUGCAAGAUUAUCGGAUAUUGUGAUGCUGACUAUGGAGGUGACCAUGAUACAAGACGGUCUGCUACUGGCUAUGUUUUCACUCUUAGAUCGGGUGCAAUAUCAUGGUGCCGUAUCAUUAUCAACUACCGAAGCUGAGUAUAGAGCAGCAGCAAUGAUAUCUCAAGAAAGUACGUGGCUACUACAAUUGAUAAAUGAUCUACAUCAGGUCAUUGAUUUUCCUGUGACACUACAUUGUGAUAAUCAAUCUAUUAUACGCCUGGUGAAGAAUCCAGUGUUUCAUGCUCAAACAAAACAUAUAGAGAUACACUAUCACUUUGUUCGAGAAAAGGUGUUACAAGGAGAUAUUGAGCUAUAUUCGAUUAAGUAGCAAGACCAAGUCACCAACAUAUUCACGAAGAGUUUAAGCCCUAUCAAUUUUGUCGAGUUUCGAGAACAACUUGGCAUGAAAAAGGAGAGUCAGUGCUGAGGGGGAGUAUUGAAAAAUCAUCAAUGCCUCUCUCUAUCUAGAAUUCUCUCCCUUGGCUAUCAAGCAUUAAUCGCCAUUCAAGAAAGUUCUCUGCACUAGCAAUUCAAGU
rnacentral:misc_RNA from 1 species